AGACAAAACAAACACAAGGCAAUAGUAUAUUUACACAAUAAUGUGCUCAAGUGAGCAAAAGGCAAAUGGCAUAAACAUAAACAUGAGCUCAAGUGAGCAAAGGGAAAAGACAAUAUGAAUAAAAUGAGCAAGAAAUUAAAUUGCAUUAAAGUAAAUUGCAAGAAUUAAAUGCUUGAAUUAAAAGUUAGUAAUUAGUAGUUAGUGUUAGUGUGCCAUAAGGCAAUUUAGCGCAAUGUUAAG
rnacentral:lncRNA from 1 species